rnacentral:rRNA from 1 species
CCUACGGGAGGCAGCAGUGGGGAAUAUUGGACAAUGGGGGGAACCCUGAUCCAGCCAUGCCGCGUGUGUGAAGAAGGCCCUCGGGUUGUAAAGCACUUUCAGUGAGGAAGAACGCCUGGUGGUUAAUACCCAUCAGGAAAGACAUCACUCACAGAAGAAGCACCGGCUAACUCCGUGCCAGCAGCCGCGGUAAUACGGAGGGUGCGAGCGUUAAUCGGAAUUACUGGGCGUAAGGCGCGCGUAGGUGGCUUGAUAAGCCGGUUGUGAAAGCCCCGGGCUCAACCUGGGAACGGCAUCCGGAACUGUCAAGCUAGAGUGCAGGAGAGGAAGGUAGAAUUCCCGGUGUAGCGGUGAAAUGCGUAGAGAUCGGGAGGAAUACCAGUGGCGAAGGCGGCCUUCUGGACUGACACUGACACUGAGGUGCGAAAGCGUGGGUAGCAAACAGGAUUAGAUACCCUGGUAGUC